GUGGCUCAGUGGUAGAGUGCUUGCCUUGCAUGCACGAAACCCUGGGUUCAAUUCCUCAGC
rnacentral:tRNA from 1 species